rnacentral:lncRNA from 1 species
AGGGCCUUCUGCCAAGGGCCCGCUUUGAUCUCCCUUAAAGGACAGCAUUAUCUGACCAGAGGUAAAUUGUAACCACUGAAAGUCCGCUGUUUCGAUUCUGGGCAAGAUGCUAUGGCAGAACAGGGACCAUGAUGAACUACUUAGAAAAAUACAUAAGGCCAUAAAUAAUGUGUGAUUAUUUGAUGAAUGCCUGUCUCUCCCACUGGGACCAUCAGCUUAGAAAAGAAAUGAUGUGGAUGUGCUCACCAAGUUAUUUGCAGAGCUUAGCAGAGUGGGAUAGAAGAGACCCAUGCAGGAGACCUCUCCAGGUACACAUAUUUCCUGCUACUGAAUGGCUUAGACUGGGAUUUGCAAGGAACUACGAAGUCCAAGACCUUUGCCUUUCUUUUAGAAGAAGGCACCAGCUGGUUCUCCAAUGUUGAAGGUCUUCUCCAGAGAUACCUUAAGGUGUGGGGAGAUUACAACUUGCUCAAGGUCUCAUAGCUAGAAGAUGUCAGAGUGAUAACUCAAACCAUGUCACAUGACUCUAAGCCCAAAGCAGCCUCUAGAAGGUUGUUUGAUCUUCUGAUGGAAGCACAAAUCACCAUUCCAACAUGAAAGAUGGAGAAACUUAAGUCUAGAGAGAUUUAAAGGACUUGUCAAAGGCAAUGAAACAAGUGGAACUCUGAAAGCCACAUGUUGAGAUGGCCCCAUUACAGGAUGGAGAGCACCUGAACCCCCAAGUUAUGGACUAGAAGAAGACAGUUGCCCUGGAAAAUCAUCUGACCCACAUUGGACUUUAUGUGAGGGGGAAAUAAACCUUUAUUAUGUUAAGCUACACAAUAAUAAAUAACAACAAUAA